CUCGUACUGUUAUUAUUGUGGCGAGCUUCGGGCUUGUUUGUGUUUCGCAAAAGUUCUGCAGCGGGGCUUACUCAGAGCGGCUGUUCGUUCGUCCAAUGUGCAAAGACAGCCACGACACACCCUACACAUACACACACGCACAGUCUUCGGAGACGGACGCAGGUAAACUGCAGGUGAUUCACAACGCAAACGUGUGUGUCGUAUGCUCACGCAUACACUGCUAUUAAUGCGAGUAUAAGAUAUUCGUAGCAGAGAUAGAGAAAGAGAGAGUGAUAGCGAAACCAAGAGAGAGGAAGCUUUGGCAUGCUUCACACGGAUCUUCAGCAUAAGUUUGGCUUGGCUUCCAUACAAGAGCGGAUUGGAACUUGCGAAAGCUUUGUUGCAAUCGAAAAAUGUGAAUGCCAAAGGAACGGAUGGAUUCUAGUUUUUCACGAACCCACACCACCUAUCGCGUAUCGUCAUCGAAAAAGUCAGCUUGUUAAGCUUAUUUAUUCGCAUGUAUCUACGUAUGUAUGUAUGUAUGUGUUGUGUGUGGUCGUGUUGGAUAAAGCACAUCAAAUGGAUAUCAAAACAGUUACAAAUUUGUGCUGCUCUCUGAGAGUGCCGUAGAUCGAAGUGUAAGAAGCUUUGCCUUCGAUACAGCUGACGAUUUGAAUACAGCAAAUGUGGUUCUUGAAUGGACGAGCUGCGGCUCCACCUGGCUAUUGAUCUCACAGUUGCCUUUCCAUUAGCAGCGAGGGAACCUACACCCUGCACAUUCGUAAACAUUUUGAAUCUUUGCAAAAUUUCAAUUUGAAACUUGAAGAGGUUCUACUGCAGUUGCUCAACGCUAUUGGAUAUUAACCAACACUGUUCUUCAAUUUUUUUUAUUUGAAGCUAGUUUUUUAUGUCUGUUAACAUUUAAUUAUUCCAAACACUUUUCUGCUUAAUUUGUAAUCCUUCCCAGCACUGUCAGUGAGAUUGGUACUAAAUUCUCAAUACUCUAAUAUUAUAUAGUUGUCAAGAAACAGUGAAAAUAAUCCCAGUGCAUUUAAAUUCCCAUUUCCCAGUAUUUUAAUUUUGAAGAGCUUGUUAAUGCAGCUGAAAUAUGAUUAUAGGACACCAGAGAA